CAGCAUAUACAAAAAUCAAAUGGAUUAAAGACUUGAAUGUAAAAUCUGAAACCGUAAAACUCCUAGGAGAAAAAAUAGGGGAAAAGCUCUUUGACAUUGGUCUGGGCGAUGAUUUCUUGGAUAUGACACCAAAAGCACAGGCAACAAAAGCAAAAAUUAAAAAGCGGGACUACAUCAAACUAAAAAUCUGCACAGCAAAGAAAACAAUCAACAAAGUGAGAAGCCAAUCUACUGAACGGGAGAAAAUAUUUUAAAACCACCUAGCCAAUAAAGGGAGUUACCUUUCAUGGAAGGGUAAGCAGGAAGCAACUACAAGAUCAUCAUUUCAAAACAAUAUGAAAGCAGAAUGGGAAAUGCCAUGGCAUGCUCCCUCUUUUCAGGUCUCCCAGGGUUUGGAUUUUCCUUGACAGAGCAUAGGGGAAGUGCUGAGUCCUCAGGCCCAUACCCAGAUGAAGAAGCACAGGCAUGAUCAAAGCUACAACUAUUAUAUCCAUCCGGGAUUUUCUUUUGUGAAUGAAAAGAAGAAAAGGCAUCAAUAAUGUGACCUUGGACUUACAGGCAAUAUGGACACUUUGGGGAAGUUAUGAAGCGUCUCCCAUUCCCGCUUGAGGUACUCAAUAGAGCCCACAAACACAAUGUGCUUGAGCUCAUGGUAAUGAAAGUUGCUGGCACGGAGCGGCAUCACCAGGUUCCGGAGGCCGAUCAGGGCUGAGCUGACGUCGCCAAAGAUGCAGACCACGACAUGGCCACUCAGGACGGUCAUGGCAGCUUCACUUCGAGUCUACAACAGGGAGAAGUGGGUAAGAGUCAGAGAGAAGACUGCAUAGGGCUGUUGUAAGGAGUGAAAUAAAUCAUUUGUGCAAAGAAUCAAGCAAAUA